CCUACGGGAGGCAGCAGUGGGGAAUAUUGGACAAUGGGCGAAAGCCUGAUCCAGCCAUGCCGCGUGUGUGAAGAAGGUCUUCGGAUUGUAAAGCACUUUAAGUUGGGAGGAAGGGUUGUAGAUUAAUACUCUGCAAUUUUGACGUUACCGACAGAAUAAGCACCGGCUAACUCUGUGCCAGCAGCCGCGGUAAUACAGAGGGUGCAAGCGUUAAUCGGAAUUACUGGGCGUAAAGCGCGCGUAGGUGGUUUGUUAAGUUGGAUGUGAAAUCCCCGGGCUCAACCUGGGAACUGCAUUCAAAACUGACUGACUAGAGUAUGGUAGAGGGUGGUGGAAUUUCCUGUGUAGCGGUGAAAUGCGUAGAUAUAGGAAGGAACACCAGUGGCGAAGGCGACCACCUGGACUAAUACUGACACUGAGGUGCGAAAGCGUGGGGAGCAAACAGGAUUAGAUACCCUGGUAGUCCACGCCGUAAACGAUGUCAACUAGCCGUUGGAAGCCUUGNGCUUUAGUUGGCGCAGCUACGCAUUAGUUAGACCGCCGUGGGGUACGGGCCGCGAAGGUUAAACGUACAAGUAGAGUUAGUACGGCGUGAGACGUAGCCGAACGGACGACCGACGAGGGGAGGUUAGGG
rnacentral:rRNA from 1 species